rnacentral:rRNA from 1 species
GACGAACGCUGGCGGCGUGCUUAACACAUGCAAGUCGAACGGUAAGGCCCUUCGGGGUACACGAGUGGCGAACGGGUGGAGUAACACGUGGGUGAUCUGCCCUGCACUUCGGGAUAAGCCUGGGAAACUGGGUCUAAUACCGGAUAGGACCAUGGACUUCACGGUUUGUGGUGGAAAGCUUUUGCGGUGUGGGAUGGGCCCGCGGCCUAUCAGCUUGUUGGUGGGGUAAUGGCCUACCAAGGCGACGACGGGUAGCCGGCCUGAGAGGGUGUCCGGCCACACUGGGACUGAGAUACGGCCCAGACUCCUACGGGAGGCAGCAGUGGGGAAUAUUGCACAAUGGGCGCAAGCCUGAUGCAGCGACGCCGCGUGAGGGGAUGACGGCCUCGGUUGUAA